rnacentral:snoRNA from 1 species
AAAAAAGCAGGAUGCUGUGCUCUCUUGUAAGCAGUGUUCUCGUAAAUUUUAGGAACAUGUUUCAUCGUUAUUGGGUGAACCGUUGGUCUAUUCCUUGUCCAUUGGUUCAGUAAAUGGUGGCACAUUU